UGGAUCAGAGAUGUUCCUCACUGGCAUCCCAAGGUUGUCCUGAUCAUCCCAGGAUGGGAGACACCAAACGGGGCCGAGGUGGGAGAAUCCCGGCCUCUCCAUCACAGGAUCCUGGAAUGGUUUGUGUGGAAAGGGACCUUCAAGAUAAUCUCAUUCCAACCCCUUUCCAUAGGCAGGGACACCUUCCACUAUCCCAGGCUGCUACAAACCCCAUCUAGCCUGGCCUUGGACAUUUCCAGGGAUCCCGGGGCUGAUACAGGUUCUCUGGGAAGCCUGUGCUUCACCACCCUCCCAGGGAAGAAUUCCUUCCCAAUAUCCCAUCUAUCCCUGCCUCUGGCAGUGGGAAGCCAUUGCCCUUUGUCCUGUUCCUCCAUGCCUUGUCCCAAAUCCCUCUCCAACUUUCCUGGAGCCCCUUCAGGCCCUGGAAGGGGCUCUAAGGCCUCCCAGGAACCUUCGUUUCUCCCAGCUGGACAUCCCCAGCUCUCCCAGCCUGGCUCCAGAGCAAAGGAGCUCCAGCCCUUGGAGCAUCUCCGUGGCCUCCUCUGGACUUGCUCCAGUAGGUUCCUGCCAUCCAUGUGCAUAUGACUCCAGACCUGGAUACAGUAUUCCUGAUGGCAUCUCCUGAGGGCAAACUAGAGAGGUUAUGUCCUGCCCUUUGCUGUCUCUCUGGACUGGGCUCCUCUCCAUCCGGGGCAAACACAGGUUUUGGGGGAGGAAAAAGCUCUGGAACUGAAGAGGAGUCUCUAAUAAGCUGAUUCAUUUGGGAGCUUUGACGUGGAGGAGUCAAGAAAGGCGUGUAGGAAGGGAGUUUGGAAUUUAAAAUUGGAGUGGUGCUAAAGGAAAACAAAACAAAAAAAGAGGCUGAAUCAAGAGCUCCACCUUCCUGCCAGCGCUGACCCUCUCCACCUCCUUUCCUCCUGCUUCCUUUUCCCCCCAUUCCAUGGACUUCGAGAGACUGUGGGAGCUCCUGGAGGCUGCAGGAGGCUGGAAAGAUGGGAGGUGCUUUAUAUGUGGCUGUGGGAACAUGUUCCAACCUUCCCGCUUCUCAUCUCCCAAGGAAAAGAGAUUUCCAAUGUUGCACAACAUGCCUGGGUCUCCGUGAUCUGACCUCUCCUGGAUACAGGGAAUGCUCGGCCACCUGAGCUGGGAUUAAUGACUUGUUCUUUGUGUGGGCGUUAAAGCUGCACGGAAAAGUACCAAACUCAUGGGGGGAGAGGUGUGAGUAGCUCCUUGCUCUCUGCUCCACUCCAAUUAACACCAACAACGGGGUGGGUUGAAUUUCACACGGAUUUUUGUCACACUUUGUCACCCAGAGCUAAAACGGGUGUUUUCCACAGGUGCUCCUGGCUCAGAUUCCAUCUCUCGUUGCUCAGAUGGUGGCGAUUCACUCACCCGUUGUUGCUCCAGAGGCUGAGCCACCCGAGCUCAGACCAGUAAAACCUGCUGGUUCCAGGAGCAGCAGCACCCAUUUAGCACCAAACCACGAAAGGAAAGAUGCCAAAAAAAACUCCAGUUCACUCGGUAGAUAAAGGAUGGUGGCACCUUGUAUGUGGCCACUCAGGUUCUUUGUAAGGACAAGGUGGAGCUGCUCCUGUUGGAAUUCAGCUCCUGGGUUUUUCAAGGCAAUUUAGAUAAACUGAAUUUUUCUCCUUACUUUAUUAUCACCUGGAGGUUUCUUGUCCUCAAGCUGGUCAGAAUUAUUAAACCAAUUAUUAAACCAAUUAUUAAACCACGAAUUUUUGGAACAGUGAAAAUUUAAAAAUACUGAUAUUAUCCUGAAUAGUUCUUCCUUGGGAAACGGGCUGGGAGGAGGGAUUUGCAUUUUCUUCUCUUGUCAGGAGGUGGCAGUGGCAGGGCCCAGUUCUGCCAGUGCCUUCCCUUGGGAUGGACUGGGAUGGGAGCACAUCCCAGGACCACAACCCCCUUCUCCUAAGGGACGUGAUUGUUGGAGUCUGGAAUACAGAGUUUGUGCCCUUGUUUCUGAUACUUAGUUAUAAGAUCUAGAAAAACACUGAAUUUCAUAUAAUAUGAAAUUCAUGAGCAUGUUUUCAUGGUGAAACAUGAAAACAAAUGUUAGAUAGAAAAAGCUAAAAGAGUAAGUGUGUAGAUUAGAAAGUAUUUUUAAAUCACCGGGUGAAAAAGUUAGUUUAGAGAACAGGAGACAAGAUGGAGGAUUUAGGGUGUUGUCCUUCUUAUUUCUUCUUCAUGUUCAUCUCCUAGAGGUUUUUGGGUAAUAGUCAGUGGUUGGACAGAAAAUGCCACAGUGCAUCACAGAGGGGAAGGGUCAUUGGGUCAUUAAGAAAAAUAAUAUACGUGUCUACUGUUAAUUGGGUAAAAAUAGGUACAAAGAUAAAAGAACUGUGUAGUUCAGGGCCAUUUUGUGCAUCAGACACGAAGUGAGCCACAAGGCCUUGUUUGUACCAUCAAAAGAAAGAAAUGUACCAGAUUGCAAAGAUUAACCUUGUAUAACCAGCCUGGAGAGACCUGUUAAGUUUUCUGAUCACCUGUUAAUAAACACGAG
rnacentral:lncRNA from 1 species